rnacentral:rRNA from 1 species
GACGAACGCUGGCGGCGUGCUUAACACAUGCAAGUCGAACGGAAAGGCCCUGCUCUUGUGGGGUGCUCGAGUGGCGAACGGGUGAGUAACACGUGAGUAACCUGCCCUUGACUUUGGGAUAACUUCAGGAAACUGGGGCUAAUACCGGAUAGGAGCUCCUGCUGCAUGGUGGGGGUUGGAAAGUUUCGGCUGUUGGGGAUGGACUCGCGGCUUAUCAGCUUGUUGGUGGGGUAGUGGCUUACCAAGGCUUUGACGGGUAGCCGGCCUGAGAGGGUGACCGGCCACAUUGGGACUGAGAUACGGCCCAGACUCCUACGGGAGGCAGCAGUGGGGAAUAUUGCACAAUGGGCGGAAGCCUGAUGCAGCAACGCCGCGUGCGGGAUGACGGCCUUCGGGUUGUAAACCGCUUUCGCCUGUGACGAAGCGUGAGUGACGGUAAUGGGUAAAGAAGCACCGGCUAACUACGUG